GGUUGUAUAGUGUAGCGGUUAUCACUCCGGAUUCUGAGUCUCCAAAACCAUCAGAACAUUCCGGCAACCCCGGUUCGAUUCCGGGUACGACCU